ACAUGGCCGACGCCGAUCAAAGUGUAGUAUCUGUUCUUAUCAGCUUAAUAUCUGAUACGGGUUGUAUUUGGACCCAAGAUAUUAAACUUACUUUUGCAAGUUGGCGGAGUGCUUUAAUUUAGCCUGCUUCACCGCCUCCGCGUGUUCGGCCCGGUAUUACGCUAUCUUCGGGAUCGGACCACGGUUU